UAGUUGAAAUCAGUAAACCAUCGAAAUGAAGCAAGCAACGUUAGUGAUUUUAUUACUUGUUCUAGUAGCAGUGAACACUGUUACCUCCCAGGGUCCAAGUUCAACUUCAAUUGUCGCAAAUAACUCAGCGAAAAAAUUGAAAGUUAUCGACUCAUUGGUAAAGGUACAAAAACAUAAACUUCCCACUACAUCGUUGUUGGAUCAAAAACCAACAUAAAAUCUACAGAGCUCCAAAUGAUUUCUUCGAAAUAAUGCAGAACUAAUAAUACCUAUUCAAUAAAUGGUAUAAUUAUAAAAUAAUUGUAUGCA